rnacentral:rRNA from 1 species
UCAAAAUCUCUGGAUCAACUAAAGACUCUGGGCUUCCAUCAAGCCACUACUACAUCGAUUUCGUUAGGAAUCGAGGAUCUUUUAACAAUACCCUCUAAGGGAUGGUUAGUCCAAGACGCGGAACAACAGAGUUUUCUUUUGGAGAAACACUAUUAUUAUGGGGCUGUACACGCGGUAGAAAAAUUACGCCAAUCUGUUGAGAUAUGGUAUGCGACAAGUGAAUAUUUGAAACAAGAAAUGAAUUCAAAUUUUCGGAUAACGGAUCCUUCUAAUCCAGUCUAUCUAAUGUCUUUUUCAGGAGCCAGAGGAAAUGCAUCUCAAGUACACCAAUUAGUAGGUAUGAGAGGAUUAAUGUCGGACCCUCAAGGAAUUGAUUUACCUAUUCAAAGCAAUUUACGCGAGGGACUUUCUUUGACAGAAUAUAUAAUUUCCUGCUAUGGAGCCCGCAAAGGGGUUGUAGAUACUGCUGUGCGAACAGCAGAUGCUGGACAAAAAUUUCCCUGA